rnacentral:rRNA from 1 species
CGAUCACGUUCAGAGUUUGAUCCUGGCUCAGGAUGAACGCUGGCGGCAUGCCUAACACAUGCAAGUCGAGCGGAGCUUAGAGGAAGUGCUUGCACAGAGACUAAGCUUAGCGGCGGACGGGUGAGUAACGCGUGAGCAACCUGCCUUUUACAGGGGAAUAACAACGGGAAACCGUUGCUAAUACCGCAUAACAUAUAACUGCGGCAUCGCAGAGAUAUCAAAGGAGCAAUCCGGUAAAAGAUGGGCUCGCGUCCGAUUAGCUAGUUGGUGAGGUAACGGCUCACCAAGGCGACGAUCGGUAGCCGAACUGAGAGGUUGAACGGCCACAUUGGGACUGAGACACGGCCCAG